GAAGGUGGAAUCGCUAGUAAUCGCGUAUCAGCUACGACGCGGUGAAUAUGUUCCUGAGCCUUGUACACACCGCCCGUCAAGUCAUGGAAGCCGGGAGUACCCGAAGCCGCACCGAUUCAGGUGUGUCGACGGUAAGUUCGGUGACUGGGACUAAGUCGUAACAAGGUAGCCGUAGGGGAACCUGCGGCUGGAUCACCUCCUUUCUAAGG
rnacentral:rRNA from 1 species